AGUAUAGUAUUUUAAAUAAAAUAUUAAAUUGCAAGUUUAAAGAUAGAAUAAUAAUUCUUUAUACUU
rnacentral:tRNA from 1 species